CGCCAGGCGCAGAUCAAGCCGCAGUAGCCGGAGACGGGUUCUCGCAGAGAGCUGGUGGCAGGUGCAAACCAGUGAACCCCCUCCGGACGAAGUACAGCUUGGGAGCCAUCGCACUUUUGGUGCGGCGGGUGAAAACCCGUUAUCCUCAGAGUGGAAAGCACCGGCUUUCAACAAGGGUGGUACCGCGGGCCAUUCAACCCCGUCCCUUUA
rnacentral:ncRNA from 1 species